rnacentral:rRNA from 1 species
UAGGGAAUCUUCCACAAUGGGCGCAAGCCUGAUGGAGCAACGCCGCGUGUGUGAUGAAGGCUUUCGGGUCGUAAAGCACUGUUGUAUGGGAAGAAAUGCUAAAAUAGGGAAUGAUUUUAGUUUGACGGUACCAUACCAGAAAGGGACGGCUAAAUACGUGCCAGCAGCCGCGGUAAUACGUAUGUCCCGAGCGUUAUCCGGAUUUAUUGGGCGUAAAGCGAGCGCAGACGGUUGAUUAAGUCUGAUGUGAAAGCCCGGAGCUCAACUCCGGAAUGGCAUUGGAAACUGGUUAACUUGAGUGUUGUAGAGGUAAGUGGAACUCCAUGUGUAGCGGUGGAAUGCGUAGAUAUAUGGAAGAACACCAGUGGCGAAGGCGGCUUACUGGACAACAACUGACGUUGAGCUCGAAGUGUGGGUAGCAAACA